rnacentral:lncRNA from 1 species
GUGGCUUUCAGUUCUAGGACUCUGGAAUCCAGUGGCCCUGAACCUCUGUGGCUAACCAAGUUCUUUGGUUGCUGGUUGGAGCUUCUCAACCAAUACUUCUCCUCUCCUAGAAAUCCAAAGAUCUGGUGACACCACAGCUCCAAUAAGUGGGACUUGGUUGCUGGCAGGCUCCAGUGGUUUUGAAACCUGAGUGUGUGUCAGUCACUUGGAGGGCCUGGUCAACACAAGGAAGACUGGGAGCCACCGGAAGCUCCUGAUUCAGGUAACCAAGGAAGAACCAGAUAAUUGUGCUUCUUACAAACCUGCAGGCACCGAGUCUUCCUGGAACUGCUCACGUGAUUUAGGAGUCCAUUUUAACAGUAACUGUCAGAGCUUAGUAACUUUUUCAGAGCUUAGUCUGUGUCGGCCAUUUGUCAUAGCACUGUGCUGGAUUGACUUUAAUCUUACAUCCCAACCCUAUUAGGAAGGUAUUAUCCUCAAUUUAUACAAGAAGAAACUGAAACUCAGAGAGGUUAAGUGACUUGUCCGAGGUCACACAUUUUGGUGAAUGGCAAAACCAGGACCUAAAUGCAAAUCAUCAGACUACUGAGUCUUGUUAUAAUAUCAUUUAUAAACCAUGCUGAGACACUUAGGAAAAAGUAAGGAGACACCAUUAAUAAACAUGCCAAGGCAAGAUGUAAGCCAGGACUCUCCUGGGCAAGCCAAGACAUAAGGUUACCUGAGUGGAGUUUGAAUUGAGUCUUGGACACAUGAAGGUUAGCAUUGGGGAAAACUAAAGAAAGACUAAGGUUUAUGCUGAACAUCUCCGUGAUGAAGUUUGUCAGAUGUUUCCUCUCCAUUCCAACUGUUGCAAUACUCCAGACAGAACAAAACAAGGAAAUGUCUUUUUUUGUUUCGUUUUGUUUUGUGCACUCUGACAUGAUUUUGCAGCCACUCACAAAGCCCUGGAGAACCAGCAUCAGGAUUUAGUCCACCAGGCAGGGACGUACAGACAUGGACAUUUCGGAAGAGAAAUUGGGCUGUGGUUUUUGAGAAAUUCUGAAUGUAGGUAUUUUUGCACAAAAUCCUGCCCAUCACAAUGGGUUUUACAGUAAGAGCAACAGCUGCUGGGGACUUAGUCCUCGCUGAUUUAUGCAAAGAGGAAGGGAAAAUUCCAUACUUUCUCAGACCCGUUGUGGGGAAUUCUAAACAGGCUCAAUAGUACCCUCUAGUGGGCAAAAGGGGAAUGCGCGGGGGCUCAGAGGACAAGGAGACAGCCAAAAGACUGGAGAAAAGUAAGAAGAAAUAUUCUGCAGAAGUGAAUUAAGUAUCCAAGUGCUCUGUGAUAUAGACAGGUACUUUAGUUUAAAGGUUUAACAGAUGGUGGAUCUGAUAAAAUAUAAUUCUCUAUAAAACACUGAUCCCGUGUGAUAUUGCAUCCACACAACACACAGCACAGUGAGCUCAGAACCCUCUGCAUGCAGGACAGUGAGUGAAGGACCCAGGCAGGUGAGCCCGGGGAGGGGGGGUCACUCCAUUCCCCACAAACCAUUGGCCAUUGGACUCCCGCCAUAAUCCAUCAUCCCCUGGGCAACUGCUUGUGGAAAGAUACCUGGACAACGCUAGCCAGAAAAAUACCAGUUUCCCCCUUAAGCUCCCACAUAACAGAAGUUUUGAUGGUGAAGCUUUAAUUGCUUUAUUUUUGCUUACAGAGAUCAAAUUAAAUAGUAAACCAACAGCACUGACACAGGGACAAAAGAACAGGGCGAAGACAAAAUCAAGUAUGUGAUUAAUCAUGCCAUGAACUGGGAGAUUCUGCAAGAGGCUGAGAGGUCACCAGCAACACCCACCCCACGUACCAUCCAUGUCUUUAGGCAGGAGACAACCUUCUGCAUUCCGUUCACUGCCCUGACUCCAUUUUUCUGUCAAAGUUCAGCUGUAUCUGAGGUUUAUUUCGAGGGUCUCCCUCCUCAGAUUUCUCAUGACUAACUGUCCCCAUGAGCAAUUGCCUUUCAAGUUUCUUUUCAGUUUCAAUGAACUUCAGUUAGAUCACCAUUCCUUUUACUCAUCAAAGGCACAUGGAACUUUUAUAUAUGUACAAAACAGUGUUGGGAAUAUAUAUCUGAAAACAGACAACAACCCCAUCUUCAUAAUUUUCCCACUGAAGGAGGAUGUGAGGAAGGGACUAGGCAGGCUCAAUCCUGGAAAAGUUAGCAGAUGGAGAUGUGGUAAAAGCUGCAAGGACAUUGCUUUAUAGAUUAUAUCCAGCAGAGAUGUCACCUCCAUCACAUGCACCUAGUCAUGGGUAGGUAUUCUAUAAAUGUUAGCUUUUAUUGUGUGUCGCUACUACUAUUGCUGCUGUAGUAAUUUACAUGUAUUUCUUUUGCUAUUCCUGCACAGUCACAUAAUAGAAGGGUGAAAUGCCAGUCUCUUCCACAAAUGCUUUAUUUAGUGAAAUUACUCCAUUACUCAGGGAGUGGUGAAUCCCAACACCAAUAACAGUUUAUUUCUCUAUUUGUAAAAGGCUACUAUCAAGAAACACUGUUCAGCAGAUUUCAUUGAUUCUUCAAUUUCUUCCUUCAUUCAUUCAACUAACACAUUACUUAUGGAGUUCACUUUGUGUGCCAAACCUUAUGCUAAGGAUGGGAAGUAGAGUAAUUAAGAAAAUGGGCAUGGCCUUUGCCCUCCCGGAGCUCUCUGUGUCCCAAGAUUUUUGGAUAUCAAGAACUUCAACAACCUUAGAUGAGGUUGUUGAAGCCAGAAUUAGACAGGGAGUCAUUAUAGAUAGGUAAAUCGAGUCAGGUAAAUAGAGUUGGGUGGGCUCAAGGAGGCCAAUCUGAGUGAGUCUGGGAAGUUGGAGACUGUCCCCUGAGAGACUGAAAUGUUAAUUCCUUCAGAGCCCUUCCUCCACCCUUAUUAAGAACCUGCCCCUGCUCCAAACUGUUGCUAAGGUAACCUGACCCAGGAAUUGCCCCUCCCUACAGGGAGUUAUAAAAUUGUUAAUUAAUGUGUCUGGGGCUGCUCUAUCCUGCCCUUCCCCCAUCCAUCUGCUUCUCACCUUUUGGCCACCCACUGAGCAUCUCCUGGGCCUAGUCCUGUAAGCAGGAAGGAGGGAGAUAGGGGAAGAGAGCAGGAGGACAAAGGAAGCCUAGGACAUAUAAAAAGUCAAACACCCUCACUUCUUGGGAUACCAGGAUACCAGGCCCCCUUUGCCCUCCCUGGAGAAAUCUGUUACCCCUUUUUAAGUAAGCCCUGCUUUAUAUGCCUACCUCGGCGUGCUUCUCUAGUGUUAUACUUCAACAUGUGAAGGAGCAGCACAACUGGUCACUGAUAACUGGCAGUAUCAUUAUGUCAUGAAGGACGUCAAACUCAGCCUCCAGUAUCUGGAAGAGACAAUCUCAUUGUGCUUACCUGGAGCUGUGCCUGGUUCCAUGGGUACCUUCUGAGGUGUCUGCUGCAUGAAUGAACUGGUGAGUGAAGACUGGGAGGGUUGACAAGAGGAAUUAUUGCUAAAAUUUCAUUUGCUGUGCAAAUAACGAUCAUGAGGAACAGAGGGGUGUUCAUGGAAAUGCCUGGGAGUGAAUGAGUUCCUAUCGUGUGGUCACUACAAUGUUGACACUUUCUGACCAUUGCCUCCCAGCAGCCGUAGGAUUUAGCAUCAUUACUCCAAUUUUAGAGAUGAGAAAACAACAACAACAACAACAACAAAGUUUUGGGAUAUUAUUUAUAAUUUGGAAGCACGGAUAGUAAAGGAAUUGGGGACCAGAGAACAUGCUCAUGUCUGCCUUCUCCAGUCAUUCCCUAAAUCCCAUUUUUCUCACUGGGGAACAAGAGCUUCUUCUCCAGUCCAUAAUGAUGGGAAUGGAUGAGGUGACAGUCCAGCCUCAUCUGCCACAGCAGGAGAUGAGGAUCCUUUAGCAGAGACUAAUUCCCUGAAGGCAAUCAUCUCCCAACAUGCCUGAUGGGCAACUCUGAUAGUGAAGUCUCGCUUUCCUCCCAACAUUUUUCAAAUCAAGGAAAACAGCCACAGGUUUCCUGAACAUCGAAAGACCAGGGUCACUGUGCUGAGUGAAUUUUGAUACAGAACUUGGUUGCAUGGGACCUGGGGAUGGGAACUGAACGUCACCUGGUGCAGCUGUUCAUUUGAUGAAUCUCUCUAUUCCGUCCCCACCAUUCUACCCACCUGCCUGCACCUGACACUGCUAGGCUGGAGAUCUGGCUCAUGUUUCCAAAAGUGGCCCAUUUCACGUUCAGAAGGAGCCUUCUGGAAAGCCUACCCCAUGUUAAGCUGCAACCUGCUUCCAGCAGCUUCUCCUCUCCGGUUUUCAUUUUCUCCAUUGAGAGCCAUUUGGAAAUCCCAUCGUGUCCACGUCACUCCUAUGCUAUCUGCCACACCACAUACUUAGACUCCCAAUAUUUUUUUCAUCCAACUCAUUUUAACUUUACUUAUUUUAAUCUCCAAUGAAGCAAUAAUGCUUUGUAAUACAUUUUUUUUGUUUUCCUAACAAAUAUGAAUUAUAGUAUUGUUAGUGUGUUUUUAAUUAUAUAAAAAUCAUGCAUUACUCAAUGAUGCAAUACACUAUGAGGAAUGCAUCGCUAGGCAAUUUUGUCAUGGUGGUUAUUGGCAUCAGAUCAAUAUUGGCAUCAGAUCCACCAUUUUAGAUCAGGAGCCAUUUUUAUCUAGGGACUCUUGAGUUUUGAUUUAAGAGCCACUCUAUCUAGGGACUCCAGGCUUCGAUUCUGAAUGCACCUGCUACAAGGUUGAACCGCCUGAGCCCAUGACACAACCCUUAAGCAUGCUUGUGAAAUUCCUCUUGUGGGCUCUAAAGCUGCUCUGUGAGGGCCCACAGACUGCUGCUCCCCUUGGAGGGACAGCCUUGUGGGUUUGCUCCAUGCUACUGACAAUAAAUCUCUUGCAUGGGAUUCCGGUGUGUGGUGUGGUCCUUGGACUUUGCAUGAACUUUGCAAGUGUCCUUUCAGUGGGAACAUUGAAGAGUGUGCUUCUGUCAUCCCAAAUGGUAAAGCCAUCUCCACACCUGGCUGCAUGUUGAAGCCUAUGACUCUGAGGCCACAAACCUGUACCACAUGGUACGGCCACUAAGUACUACAGGCAGCUGUAGCACAGUGGUGGAUAUAUAUAUAUAUAUAUCUGAGUGCACCUAAAUGUAGGAAAGGCACAUUAAACAUGAAGUAUAGAAGAAAAAUAAAAGUGUCCACCUGUAUACCUUGCCAUGUUCAUGUGGCAUGACCAGGACAGGAAGUUGCUGUGGGUGAGUGGGUGGAACUGAAGGCGGAGGACAUUACUGUAGGCUCCACUGUCUACUUAGCCUACACUCGAUUUAUGUUUCAAAGUUGUUCCUUUAGCUCACCUUCACUCUUUUGCUUUAUAAUCUUUUACAUUUUUUAAACUUUUUGACUUCUUUGUAAUAGCACUUAGCUUAAAACACAAAUAUAUGGGAUUGCUACUCAAAAAUAUUUUUUUCUUUAUAGUCUUACUCUAUGACAUUUUUUCAACCUUUCAAAUAUUUUAUUUUUUUUUCAAGGCCCUGGGUUCAAUCCCCAAUACCCACAAAUUCUUUUUUCUUUUUUAACUUUUUCUGUUGAAAACAAAGAUACAAACACACAUUAGCCUAGGCCUACUCAGGGUCAGGUCGUCAGUGUUGCAGUCUUCUAUCUCAACAUCUUGUCUCACAGGAACAUCUUCAGAGGCUGUGACACACACAUGUCAGUGUCCUCUCCUAUGACAAUAGUGGCUUUUCUAAGAAUCACUCCUGAAGGACCUGCC